CCACCACCACAUCUACCACCAUCACCAUCACCACUACCUCUACCACCACCACCACCUCUACUACCACCUCCACCACCAUCACCACCAACACCACCAUCCCACCAUUACCACCACCAUCAUCACCACCACCAUCACCAUCACCACCACCAUCACCAUCAUCAACACCACUACCACCACCACCACCAUCACCUCCCUUUCUGAGCUGUGCCCUGCUGAACUUCCAAAUUUCUUGAGAAUAUCGUCCCCUGGGGAACCCUAUGGCUAUUUUUACUUCUUCCAUGUGUGCCUUCCUCCCCACAACCACCAGUGUUCCACUCAAAGGGGCAUAAACAUCUAUAAGGCAUUCUGUAUGUAUGUGUUUAUAUAGUCUUUUUUUUUUUUUGACAGAGUCUUGUUCUGUCAUUCAGUCUGGAGUG
rnacentral:lncRNA from 1 species